UAAAAAUUUUUUAUGUAUUUAAUUUUCUCGAACUUAGAAGGGCGAUUUAAUUAUAAAUUUUAUUGUUAAAUAAAUAUUUAUAAUAAUUAAUUAGUAAUGAAAUGUUAUACGUUUCUAAAUAUAUCUGGUUUCCUUAGAAAUGAAUUUAAUUUAGCUUGGUUAUUAAAAUUAAUUUAAUUUAUAAUUGAUUUUGUUGACGAUGUAAUACUUCAGGGGAUGAGCUUUGAUGUAGAUUUUUAUAAGGAAAAUUUAAUUGGCAGAAUGAAUAGGAUUAGAAGUUUCCAUUUUUAGGAUAAUGUUAUAAUUAAUUUUGUUUUAUAUUUUAUUUUUAUUGAGUUUAAGUUUUGUAUGAGGAUAUAAUUUUGAAUAUGGGGAUGAUUAGAAAAAAUGAUAAAAUUAGUAUAGUUAUUUUUAUUUUUAAAGGUGGCUUUAAGGUUAAUGAAAGGAAUUCGGCAAAUAAUUUUUUACCUGUUUAUUAAAAACAUGGCCUUUUGAUUAUAAUUUUAGGUCUAGCCUGCCCGCUGAGGUGUUGAAUGGCCGCGGUACUCU
rnacentral:rRNA from 1 species